rnacentral:rRNA from 1 species
AAUGAACGUUGGCGGCGUGGAUUAGGCAUGCAAGUCGAGCGAGAAGAGUUUGGUAGCUUGCUAUUGAACUCGGACAGCGGCGAAAGGGAGAGUAACGCGUAGUUACGUGCCCCAGGGUUCGGAAUAGCCACGGGAAACUGUGGGUAAUGCCGAAUAACAUCUCCGGAUCAAAGGUGUGAUUCCGCCCUGGGAGAGGACUGCGUCCUACUAGCUAGUUGGCGGGGUAAUGGCCCACCAAGGCGACAAUGGGUAGCGGGUGUGAGAGCAUGACCCGUCUCACUGGGACUGAGACACUGCCCAGACACCUACGGGUGGCUGCAGUCGAGAAUCUUCGGCAAUGGGCGAAAGCCUGACCGAGCGACGCCGCGUGCGGGAUGAAGGCCCUCGGGUUGUAAACCGCUGUCGUAGGGGAGGAAGGCUCCGUGAAGAACGGGGUUUGACCUAGCCUAGGAGGAAGUACGGGCUAAGUUCGUGCCAGCCGCCGCAGUAA